rfam:Saccharothrix espanaensis DSM 44229 complete genome
CUGGUGACCCCGCGGUGCUGUCGGACCCCCGACCUGGCAGCACCGCGGGGUUUCCCA